GUGCUUUCAAGCUGAGCUCUAAUGUAGAGAUCUGCUGCAAAGCCUUUGUCUCAUUUGCAUUAGCAAAACUUCCAAAAAAAAUUUCAAGUCUUCCAAUCAUAUCAAAAGAGUUUUUAUUUUCAUUUGCUCUCCCUUUCCUCACUGUUCCCCCAAAGAGAACAUUAAUGGUCUCUCAUGGAAAGGCACCUCAUUUUUUACCAAAGAAGCAAAUUAAAAAACAAAACAUGCAGGGUAGUGAUAAAAUACCCGAAUAAAAACUUAACGCCAGGAAACGCUGCAGACAGAGUUCUUCUGGUUCUACAUCAAAACCAAAACUAAGCUGCCUGGGCUUUAAAGUUUCACCUGUACUGAGAAGCACCAAAGAUUUCAGAGAGACGUGUGUCCUACCCAAAGAUGCACUGCACGGAUCUAGCUCGCUUCAGUACAACCAGAGGCUCAUUCACUGAAUGAGAUCUGAGUUCUGGCACCAUGUGGUGACACAACAGCUGCUAAAGCAGAAAAACAGGAGUCCUGUCAGACCUUCGGGAAAGGCAACAGCGGGGGUGGGGGGAAAGACCCGGAAAUAUCAAAGAUUUCUCCCGCGCAAGAGCACGAUUUCAGUUACAGUGGAGGGAAGAAGCCAGCUUACAAUGUGGCAGGCACAAGCCAGCUUUGGCACUUGUGUUACUGAAAAUAAUGUGGUGGCUGUCCCCAACUCAGCAGGCAACCAGCUGUGAAGGUUUACUUGCAGCAGUGACCACUUGAGCAGCGAGGCAUUUCUUAUCCCAGGGAAAGCUUGCUUGCUACCUGUAAAGCUACUCAAGUCCAGCUGUUAUGAAACAGAGACAUGAGGUAAUCAUUAUUUCCAGAAGAAUUAACAGGAUGCCAAGGGUGACACACGAAAAAUGACAGAGUAAAAUUUUAAAAUAAUGAACACACAUAGGCUUAAAAUCUACAUUGCCUUUUUCCUUUUUAAGCCCUAUCCAAUGAAAGACAGUUUAACAGCAUGAAGUGCAAGUUGUCUUACACUGGCUCAAAAAAAUAAAAAAUCACUGGAACAAUCAAACCCUGAACAUUCCUUAAUUAAAUGGACAAGUCUCUUGGGAAUGACAUGGGCAGAGACCAUACUUUUUGUAGACCAAACCUGAGCAGAGACUGGAUUUUGUUUCUUUUCUGCAAAUAGACAAAACAAGUAUUUCAAGAUACAGCUGAAGUGGUUUCAAAAUAGCAAUGACCCAGGUCACAAUCAGAAUUUUGUAUAUACAAUUUGUAUUUAACUUAAAAAAAUAAAGAAGUUCAAAAUACCUCCAGAGAACAUUCUAGCUUAGCAAAAUGUCCUGUACAAAAGUAGGCCACAUCUGUUGGUUUAAAAGAAGUCCACAGCAGUUGGUCUCUUCUUAGCUGACAUAGUAAAUGGUUUCUUCAUCUGGGGUUCUCUUGCUGGGGUAACUGUGGGUGACUUCAGCACCCCAUGACGAGGUUUCUGUUCAGGAUUGAAAGCCACACGGGAGGGUCCUUCUGGGCUCACUAAUAUACUUUUGUCAGUCUUUUUAAAUUCUGUUGAAAAACAAGCCAACAAGUUAGAAGAAAUGCAGCUGCUGGAACAACUGGACCCGUCAAACAACUGUGGAAUUGCCCAGCCCUGCAAGUCUGCCCUAGAGCCUUAAUUCCACUAAGGAUCAGAAGCCUAAGGCUGCAGAGGAAACAAAGAGAUGGUGGUGAAGUGCAUCUCUUAGCAGAGUCCCUUGGAGAACAGGGUCUGCUGCAAUCCACUGAGAGGCUGUGAACCAUUCCCAUGGUUCCACAGACCACCAGAGACCCUGGGCCUACUCCUGAGACACAAGCGUUCCAGCUAUCCUGAAGAACACUACUCCUGAGUUUAUGAUGGCUAAGCAAUGUCUGUGCUCUGACUGCUGAACAGCACUGCUCUAGUGUCUCAAGGUCAUCCCUUCUGCCAGCAGAGAGGCACUUAUCUUUCAUUUUGUGCAGCUGUGUUGUAUUAACAUAAAGACAUAUACUUAAAUAUACUGUUCUCAAUUUAAACUUGAUUUACUGCACACCUCAGUGAGUUAAAAAUUAGCUAAAUGAAUACAUGAAAUACAAUUCUUUGCUAUGGAGCAAGACAUUUAUUAAACAGGGAAAACACUGCUUACAGAAGGGAAGUGACAUUUAUCUACUCGUGACCAUCAAUAAACCACAGGCAGCCAAGAUAAAAAGGAAACUUUGCCAUGUUAAAGUCUGAUCUUAUCAGCAUAUCAGCACUCUUUGUCCUGGGAAACAAGUGAGCAAUGAAAGCUGUGAAACCCACGUGUUUCCCUCAGAGGUGCCCUGCAAACAGGCAGCUCAGGAAGGCGACUCCAUCACUCUGCUGCAGUUUUCCUUCUAUGAGGCUCCUUCUGCAGGUCAGUAAUGCAGCACCCUGGAAUUGUUCAAGUCUAGCUGUUGGGCUGAAUGUCCUAAACUUUCCCAUCUCCUCUGAAAAGGAACUUGAGGAGGGUUUGUAAACUAUAUACAAUUAUUGUAACAAAAAAGGGACCAGAAUCAUCCUGUUCUAGAGGUGUUCUCUAGGUGUGUGUGAGUGCAUGAAGCUUCCCCCUCCCUCAGCCACAAGAGAGACUGUGGACACACACAGAUGUAUCAGACUCACCAGCAGUCAUGUUUUUAUUCAAGCCAAAUGUGACUUUUUUGCAGCUGGGUGACUGCAGCUUGUUCAGCUAUAAAACAAAAUGGAGACAUGAAAUAAAAUAAGAUUUCUGAGGCAAUGCUAGGAGUUCUUUUACCUGCAUCCCACCAGUGUAAAGCAGCCUACUUCCUUCAUCUGGUUUGGAACUGCCCCAAUCCUCUUGCACUGAUCCUGCUGAGAUAGCACUGUUUUUCUAGCCAAAAGCAAACAUACUCCAUUUGUGGAGAAAUCACAUACUCUCCUUAAUGUCAUUACAUAAUUCAACAACAAACAAGAACAUAUUUGUGUAUUAAAUAGAGUGGCCCCACUGCACUCAGGCCUCAAAGUGCUGAGAGGCUUUGAAAAGAUAUUACAUGUUAAAAAGGUUCAGAAAAGAGGGCAGUCUUUUGAAGCCCUGUGCUGUUAAAAUCUCCACAAAUGGGAAGAAAUGGAGGCUCAAAGUCACUCUGCAAGACUGAAAGUCAGUUUAUGCUUUUGCUUUCUUGUGAAAUGAGCAGACUCAGAAUGGUGGGUGUUCAACAAGAAGGUACUUUUAAAAGCAGAGGGGAGGGAAGAAGAGGUUUUAGAGGUGCCUUCAACUCAUUUUCUGAAACUCUGGAGCCAUAUGUGACUCUGUCUACAGGAAAAUGCAACAGCAUUUCCAGUUUUAUCUGCUCAUGGUAAGAGUGGAAAAGACAGCACAAGUGAGGUCACACCCUUUGGUGGGGCAGGUCUCUUGGGAAGAGACUUGUGCCUGUCCCUCUGUGAGAUCACCUCACCUGCAAGGAUGUCCUGGUGGAAGAGAUGGCGCUUCUGGCCUUCCUGAAGAACACUCCCUUUGCUAAAGUUGUUUUCUCAAAUUUUACAAAAUCACUUCCUGGUUUUGCUUUCUUUUUCUUUAAUGGUGACAGAGCAUCACUGCUUUCCUGUGAAGGAAAGGGAAAAAUGCUUCAGUACAACAGUACUGCAAUAAACUACACCUAGCACAUUGGCUCAUCAUCAUGGUCAACUCUUAAGACAAAAUUUUGCAAUUAGCACGACUGAAAGCAGAAAUUUAAGGCAAGCUCUGUACAGAAAUAGGAAACUAUCAGUGCAAAGCACAGACGGAAGAACUAGUAACAGAUUUGCCAGGCCCAUCAGAGUGCAAACAAACAAGGUUUUCUCCAUGUGGAUGAGGCUGCCUUAUGAUUGAUCCAGCUCUCCUGCACACAAGUGAUUUUUUUUCCCUUGAGCAGAAGCAAAAACUAUUCUGUGGUACCUCUGGAUGCAUAAGAUACACAACCAAUGAACAAACCCAGCUUUGGGCUAAGAUGGAGACUCUGGAGAAAAAAAUAAAGUGGAGUAUGAAGUCUUUACACUCUCAGAAAUCCAGCUAUUGUGUAUUGCUUCUAGUUUGCUGCCUCAAAUUCAUACUCUUGUGGCAUUUAAAGUAAUUCUUCCCUUCAGCAGAAGGCAAUUCUUAGGGCCUGUACUGGCAGAGCUUUCUAACCUGCUGUCUACAGACUGUGGACCAGUCAGAUACCUGUGGACUACAGUCCACAGUUAUGCUUUACAUCAACCAACAGAUGUGAAAUUCCAAAAGCAGUUCACUGACAAGCUGUGGAAAAUGUCCAGGGGAUAUGGCCUCUUUUGAUUUGAAAAUCACUUGUGCUUUCAAUAAAGUGAAAAAUCACAAGACUUUUAGCUUCCUGAAGUCUGGAUACACCUGUGAAAUAAUGCUGAUCUUGUCUGUUUUUUCCCCUUCUCCUCCUCCUCCUCUCUCUCAGGAUUUGAAGCUAAUUCUUUGGAGGGUUGAGGAGUUACACCAACUUCAUUUACCAAGCUGCAUUACUUAACUAAUCCUACAGUUUUAAGUCAGAGGAACAACAUAUUCUGCACAGGAAGAGCCCAUUCAGAAGAGACCUGCCUCAGAAAUCCCCAAACUCAAACCAAACCACCGAAAGCACUGAGAAAACAGCAAUUUAACACUUCUAUAUCUGUGCCUUGCAUCACACACAACCUGAUGUCACAUCCUGCAGCACAAACCCACCCUGUGCAGACAAAACCUCAGCUGGCUGCAGCUGCACCAGUGAGGAACAGCAGCACAGGCUUCAGGCAGCUCAAGCACAUCAUCCAGGACUGUGACCUGCUCUCGUGACAUUGUCACUGGGACAACUGAGAGUGGACAGAAAGCAAAGUGACAGUUGUUUAGGACAGGGUGGCACAUGGUGUAUUUCCACAGAACUCACUUUUUGACCAGCUUGUACAGACGCUUUCUGUUCCGGGAAGGUGUGUUUUUCUUGCUCGCCAAUUCAAAGAGUUUGUCAGCAACAGCCUUGUAAUCAAACUGUCAGAAGGGAAGUACAACAACAAGUUUAUUCAUGCAAGAUAACCCAAUGCAACUCAUGUUACCAACACCUCAAGUAUUGAGUUCAGCCACUUCUUUUAAACCCAAAAUAUUUUUCUCUGUUGAAGUUUACGCCCCCUUCAAACAUGUAUACUGACUUUUCCAGAUUGUUGCUUCAUUAACAGAACAGCUGAACUCAGUAUCACUGUCUCAGAUGUUCUUAACCUUAUUUCUUGCUCAACCUACUUCAAAACUCCCAUAAAUAUUUAGUUAAAUGUCAGAUUUAAAGUGUGUCAUGUCCUAAUUCUUGCUCGAAAGCCACAGAAGCACAAAGUGUAUCUACCUGCAUGUGUGUUUGAUGGGUGGAUCUGUCAAAAACACUACACUGCACUGGAUCUAGAAAACCCAAAUUGUAGCAUGCUACUCUCACUCCUAUGUGUCCCAUCAUCCAUUACUUUUGCCCUUAUUGUCAAUGAAACUUAGAGCUGAUUGCUUCACCACCCACAGUGACUUGGCAUUUAAGUCUUGAAACAGGGAGAGGCAGAAAACAGAAGGCAUGGGAGAGAGGAAAAGAAGAAUUUAGACUUGGGUUUAUUUUACUACAACUCACAGUGUACACAUUACAUUAACAUCACCUUACAUUAAAUCAGAAGGGAAUUAAAAUUUUGUAAUAUUUAUCCAUUAAUGCCCUUUAUUUUUGUACCUUUUGAAAGGGAUGGGGAAAAAAGAAGAGAGAGGAGUAUCAAUAACAGAGCAAAGAAGCCACAAACCUGAAGAACGGUCCCAAUCCCGUUAUCAGCCUUUUUAUCAAUAUGCUCUGUUUUUUCAGAGCUCUGCACUGAUUUUCUUGAAAAACAUCUGUCUGCAAUUAUAGAAAAAAGAUUGAGUAUUAAUGCUCAGUUUGUUUGAGAUAGUAAAUCCAAAAGUGCAAGCUUUGUUAAGCGCAUUUGGAGGGAAGACAGGAAAACACAAUUAUCCUUACAACACCCUGAACAGAGCAGAAAUGUAUUUUUCAGAAGCAGAUUUUUCAAUCCUAUCAAGUCUUACCAGGGCAACUUAGAACCUCCUCCUCACCUUUGGUUUUAGGCACCUCCUCCUUUUCCUGUUUGUCUUCUUCAGAAACAUCCUCCUCGUCACUGUUGCUGCCCAGUUCUUUCAUCAGGUCCUCGAUGGCAAAGGGGGACUGAUCCACAAUCAGCUCAAAGAUUCCGGUGGCUACAGCGUGCAGCAAACACCGACUGCGUGAGGAGAGAGCAGGGACAGAGCUGAAAGGCAGGAGUGUAAACACCCUCCCCUCUCACAUUAAAAGAGUGGAAAUUUGAGGGACACAGAGAAAGAAGUGGAAGAACAUCUAGCUCUUCAGAUGAGGGAACUGAACUGGUCCUUCAGUCCAAACAGGAUGCUAAUGUCCCUCUCUUAAUUUUCACUGCUUAUAUGGUGCUCUAUAAUACAUUGCAACAACAAAGAAGACAACCAGCUCAGCUGCUCUAUGCAUGUUAAAAAAAAUAAAAUAACUAGAUAUAUUAACCAACAGAGGUUGGUUAUAGUCGUUAUAAAUCCAUGAUUACCUACACCUUUGAUAAACACAAGUUAUCUUCAAAUGACUGUGCACAUGGCUGCUAAAAUAACCUUCUUUCUUUACAUUCUGAGGUUAAGACUCUUCUUCAAUCCAUUUAUUACCAUGUGGAGUGGUAAAUUCAGAUUUUCUAAAUUCUUAAAAAAUAUUUGUCUUUUCAUUAAACUUACUCCUUUGAUUUGGCAGCAAGUCUGCAGAAAGGUUCAAUGAACUUGAGAUUCUGGUCUGCUGUGAGCUGCAUGAUGAGAAAGAAAAAAGUAGUGAGUACAAUAAAUGUUGUAUGUGUACACCCAAA